UCAGAAAAUAGUUUAAUGAAAGGACAUUGGCUUUGGGAGCCGACGGUGGGAGUUUAAGUCUCCUUUUUCUGAGC
rnacentral:tRNA from 1 species